GAAGCCUACAAAUUUAGAUCGGGUAGCUUUGAGCGGUGACCUCGCGGGCGUCUGGUGACCUGGAGUGCGGUCCCCCUCGUGGACAGCCGACGACGGAAGCAGCCUCCUUACGUACUGCUGGCGACCUGGGGCGCAGCCACCUCACGGGCGGCCGGUGAGGUGAGCUCCCGUGGUGCCCGGACGGCCGGCGCGACAAACUUUCGUGGCGAGCGGACGGCCGGUGAUCUAGCGCGUCCAAGGCCACCUCACAGUGAGCUAGCGCAUGCAUCAACGGACAGAAGCCUCGGCUCAGAGUAUCGAGAACUAGACUCAGAUCCAUGGGAAGAAGUGUUGGCUACAGCUCCACCCAAAUGGCCAAAUUGAAGGACUGGUGGAGACCUAUUGCUUGCAGAUGCACCUAAACUUUCCUGGAGAUGAAAUCCUUGAAAGCUAGGUGGAGCUUGUUGCCAACUCGCUUGUUGUGGAACAUCUUGGAAUAUGUGAGGAGAAUGGCCAUAUGGUGUACUUCUGGAGGACCAAAAGGAUUGAAGUUUUGUAUAGAAAAUUAGAUGUUCCAAAGGGAAUAUGGGAUUGGGAAGGUGGAGAAAUCUGACCACUACCCUCAUGGUAUUGGGUUGGAGAGUCUUGAUUCAAGCCUUGAUUGAGGAGGCCUCAAAAGUUUCAGGUGGGGGUUCCAUUCUUGUGUUGUAGAAGUUCAAAAUCUCAGGGAAGUGUGGAGAAAGAGUGAAGCACGGAGCUUCAGUUUUUGUAGGUAGUGAAGAAGGGAAGCAGCUAGUUUUUGUAGGUAGUGAAGAAGGGAAGCAGCAAAGAAGCAGGCCAACGUCCACCCGCCCAACGGCUCCCUACUGAAUGCAACGGCUCUCUUUGUUUAUUUGUUGUACAGUGUAUAUAUUGUAUUUUGUUACCUAAAGGGUUGUCUAUAGUGCUAGAGAUGGCUGGUGGCUAUGGACUAUAUAUGGACCACACCCACAAUGUAUGUGGUUGGCUGAUAGCAAUUAUUUUAUUCCUUA